rnacentral:antisense_RNA from 1 species
UCACAUGGCGGGCGGUGCAUGGGGUCAUUGUGCCCGCCGGCGUUUGUACAUCGGUCACCGGUAUUGCAACCACGCACCGUCCGCCACCCUC